AGUGAACGCUGGCGGCGUGCUUAACACAUGCAAGUCGAACGAAAACGGGUUAUAGCUUGCUAUAAUUGUCAGCUAAGUGGCGCACGGGUGAGUAAUGUAUAGGUAAUAUGCCUCUUACUAAGGGAUAACAAAUGGAAACGUUUGCUAAUACCUUAUACUCCUUAUUAACAUAAGUUAAUAAGGGAAAGAUUUAUUGGUAAGAGAUUAGCCUGUAUUGUAUCAGUUAGUUGGUGGGGUAAUGGCUUACCAAGACUAUGACACAUAACUGGUUUGAGAGGAUGAUCAGUCACACUGGAACUGAGACACGGUCCAGACUCCUACGGGAGGCAGCAGUGGGGAAUAUUGCACAAUGGACGAAAGUCUGAUGCAGCAACGCCGCGUGGAGGAUGACACGUUUCGGUGCGUAAACUCCUUUUAUAUGAGAAGAUAAUGACGGUAUUAUAUGAAUAAGCACCGGCUAACUCCGUGCCAGCAGCCGCAGUAAAAC
rnacentral:rRNA from 1 species